GCAGCAGCAGCAGCAGCAGGCGGCUCCCCCCCAAGCCCAGCCCCAGUCCCAGCCCCAGUUCCAGCGCCAGGGGCUUCAGCAGACGCAGCAGCAGCAACAGACGGCAGCUUUGGUCCGGCAGCUCCAACAGCAGCUCUCCAAUACUCAGCCACAGCCCAGCACCAACAUAUUUGGACGCUACUGAGCCACCUGGAAGAACCUGGAAGAACCACUUGUGCACUGGAUGUGGCCCCACCCUUUCCUCUUGAUCCCCGGUCCCCUUCCCGGGCUAGCACCAGUAGUGGUUGGGGCUCUUCCCUCAGGCUCCGUUUUUAAUAAGUUUUUAGUAUUUUUGUUAAUGUGAGGCAUUGAGCUGUUGGGUUUUGUAUAUUAUUUAUAUAGAGACCCCAGAGCUGUUGCACCCAAUACACAGAGCUUCUUUGCAAAGGGAGUGUGUGAGUUCUGCAUGGCCGGCAAGGGCGGGCUCUGGGCAGAGUGCUGGGGGCUGGACCAAGCAGGCAGAGCCUUCGUCCCCUUUCCGAUCAACUCCCCUGUUUACCUUCCUUCUCAGUUUCUAAAUUACAGCUGGAUUGCUAGUCUUUCCUCUCCUCUCCAACCUGGCAACGUUUUAUAUAGGCUUGGGCCAUUAGUUUCUUAAGAAGGGCAGCUUAGCCUCUCUGCUACAUGUUGCGGGUUCUUCGUAGCUUCUCUCGACCAGGGAUGUCUAGACCGCUGGGACAGGGGAGGGGC